GCCAAGCCAGCCAAGCUAAGCCAAAAAGUUAACUCGGCGCACGCUUUGUGUAAUCUCGACACGUAAGCCUGCUUACACGGUGUUUGCUUUAGUGUAUUUCCGCGACGAGAACGUGAAGGCUAUGUUCAACGUGCACCAUAAGAACUCAGCCACAAAUGUCUUGGAUUAUGACUCUACAAAGUGGCACCAAGAAUAAUGGCAAGACGAGCAACAAGCUUACGUCAAGGCCCAUGUGCUCCGAUUGUUCGAAUUUUGGAGGCAUUUCCUCGAGUGCCGCUGCGGCUGCCCAGAAGAAAGUCACAAUAGACAUAGUUGCCUUGGCAAAAUGGUCGCUGACAUCAUGAAGGGCCAGCAUAAGCAUUUGUAGUUUUGAUUAUGAAAAUAUAUUUGAACGUAUGCCUCA